rnacentral:lncRNA from 1 species
CAUGUGCCCGUAAUUCACCUCCAGCACCGCGUAAAAUCCACCCGUAAUCACUGGGUCUCCACCCGUAAUUGUACGUGUAAUUGGUUACAUGUGCCCGUAAUUCACCUCCAGCACCGCGUAAAAUCCACCCGUAAUCACUGGGUCUUCACCCGUAAUUUCGCGUGUAAUUGGUUACAUGCGCCUGUAAUUCACCUCCAACACCGCGUAAAAUCCACCCGUAAUCACUGGGUCUUCACCCGUAAUUUCGCGUGUAAUUGGUUACAUGCGCCCGUAAUUCACCUCCAACACCGCGUAAAAUCCACCCGUAAUCACUGGGUCUUCACCCGUAAUUUCGCGUGUAAUUGGUUACAUGCGCCCGUAAUUCACCUCCAGCACCGCGUAAAAUCCACCCGUAAUCACUGGGUCUUCACCCGUAAUUUUGCGUGUAAUUGGUUACAUGCGCCCGUAAUUCACCUCCAGCACCGCGUAAAAUCCACCCGUAAUCACUGGGUCUUCACCCGUAAUUUUGCGUGUAAUUGGUUACAUGCGCCCGUAAUUAAC